rnacentral:rRNA from 1 species
ACGCUGGCGGCGUGCUUAACACAUGCAAGUCUACGAGAACGAGGUAGCAAUAUCUCUAUUAAAGUGGCGCACGGGUGCGUAACACGUAAGCAAUCUACCUUUGGGUCUGGAAUAACUUCGAGAAAUCGAGGCUAAUACCGGAUAAUGCAGCGGCAUCGCAUGGUGAUGUUGUUAAGGUUUAAGUAAUGCCUAUAGAUGAGCUUGCGUCUGAUUAGCUAGUUGGUAGGGUAAAAGCCUACCAAGGCUACGAUCAGUAGCUGGUCUGAGAGGAUGAUCAGCCACACUGGAACUGAGACACGGUCCAGACUCCUACGGGAGGCAGCAGUGAGGAAUAUUGGGCAAUGCCCGCAAGGGUGACCCAGCAACGCCGCGUGGAGGAUGAAGGCCGUAAGGUUGUAAACUCCUGUUAGAGGAGAAGAACAGUACCGAUUGGAUCGGUAUUUGACUGUACCCUCAGAGAAAGCCCCGGCUAACUACGUG